CUUGAAACCGUUUAGGGGUAAACCUGAGAAACCCGAAAGGUCGAAGGGAGAAAUUCAUUCGCGUUUCGAUGUUGGCGUGAGACGGGGCCGAGUGACGGAAAGCGUUCGCGUUUUCUGCACCAUCCGUUUUUCGAUCUGCCGUCGAACGCGUGCACUUUUCUCCUGGUAGGACGUCGCGAUCCGUUGGGUGUCGAUCUACGGCCCGAGGUGGAGACCGCGCGGACGGCUUGCCGUUCCGUUCGGACCCUCGGUGUCCCGGCCGACUCGCUCGACGGUAUACGAAAGGUCGAGGGCCGCUUCAAGAGCGUUCGACUCGUCGCAAGCGCGAUGGAAGCGUCGAAUAUCGGACCCAGUGCCGAUACCGAUCUCCGUUGGCUGUUGGCGACGAAGUUCUCGAACAGACCCUCUCUGACCGAUCUGCGACGCUAACGCUUUGGGUACUUUCAGGACCCGUCUUGAA
rnacentral:rRNA from 1 species